AUUGAACGCUGGCGGCAUGCCUUACACAUGCAAGUCGAACGGCAGCACGGGUGCUUGCACCUGGUGGCGAGUGGCGAACGGGUGAGUAAUACAUCGGAACAUGUCCUGUAGUGGGGGAUAGCCCGGCGAAAGCCGGAUUAAUACCGCAUACGAUCUACGGAUGAAAGGGGGGGACCUUCGGGCCUCGGGCUGUGGGGUUGGCCGAUGGCGGAUUAGCUAGUUGGUGGGGUAAAGGCCUACCAAGGCGACGGUCAGUAGCUGGUCUGGGCGGACGACCAGCCACACUGUGACUGAGACACGGCCCAGACUCCUACGGGAGGCAGCAGUGGGGAAUUUUGGACAAUGGGCGAAAGCCUGAUCCAGCAAUGCCGCGUGUGUGAAGAAGGCCUUCGGGUUGUAAAGCACUUUUGUCCGGAAAGAAAUCCUUGGCCCUAAUACGGUCGGGGGAUGACGGUACCGGAAGAAUAAGCACCGGCUAACUACGUG
rnacentral:rRNA from 1 species